rnacentral:rRNA from 1 species
UACGGGGGGGGCAAGCGUUGUUCGGAAUGACUGGGCGUCAAGGGCACGUAGGCGGUGAAUCGGGUUGAAAGUGAAAGUCGCCAAAAAGUGGCGGAAUGCUCUCGAAACCAAUUCACUUGAGUGGGACAGAGGAGAGUGGAAUUUCGUGUGUAGGGGUGAAAUCCGUAGAUCUACGAAGGAAGGCCAAAAGCGAAGGCAGCUCUCUGGGAUCCCUACCGACGCUGGGGGUGCGAAAAGCCAUGGGGGAGCGGAACAGG